AUUGAACGCUGGCGGCAGGCCUAACACAUGCAAGUCGAACGGGUAUCUUCGGAUACUAGUGGCAGACGGGUGAGUAACACGUGGGAACGUACCUUUCGGUUCGGAAUAAUACAGGGAAACUUGUACUAAUACCGGAUAAGCCCUUCGGGGGAAAGAUUUAUCGCCGAUAGAUCGGCCCGCGUCUGAUUAGCUAGUUGGUG
rnacentral:rRNA from 1 species